UGGGGUUGUGGCUCAGUUGGUAGAGUGCUUGCCUGGCAUGUGUGAGGCACUGGGUUUGAUUCUCAGCACCACAA
rnacentral:tRNA from 1 species